rnacentral:rRNA from 1 species
GAUGAACGCUGACAGAAUGCUUAACACAUGCAAGUCAACUGUGGCGGACGGGUGAGUAACGCGUAAAGAACUUGCCUCACAGCUAGGGACAACAUUUGGAAACGAAUGCUAAUACCUGAUACUGUGAGAGAGCUUUGCGUCCCAUUAGCUAGUUGGAGAGGUAACGGCUCACCAAGGCGAUGAUGGGUAGCCGGCCUGGGAGGGUGAUCGGCCACAAAGGGAAUGGGACACCGCCCUUACGUCUUCGGGGGGGAGGAGGUGGGGAUAAUGGACAAAUGGCCAAAGUCUGAACCAGCCAUUCUGGUUUCAAGAUUAAGUUUUCGGAAAGGAAAGGGGUUUCCGUUGGGGAACGGUACCAACAGAAGAAGUGACGGCUAAAUACGUGCCAGCAGCCGCGGUAAUAC